UACGGAGGGUGCAAGCGUUGUCCGGAUUUAUUGGGUUUAAAGGGUGCGUAGGCGGCUUAAUAAGUCAGUGGUGAAAGACUGUGGCUCAACCAUAGAAUUGCCAUUGAUACUGUUAAGCUUGAGUAUAGUUGAGGUAGGCGGAAUUGACGGUGUAGCGGUGAAAUGCAUAGAUAUCGUCAAGAACACCGAUUGCGUAGGCAGCUUACUAGACUAUAACUGACGCUGAGGCACGAAAGUGUGGGGAUCAAACAGG
rnacentral:rRNA from 1 species